AUCUCUUUAAAAGUUUAAUCAAACUAUACCGUUCAUUGUAAGUAGAUACUACGUGAAAUAGUUCAGAACUUCCGUGACCUUUUUUUAAAGAAUUAGUUUUUGAGGCUAACGUGACACGUUGGUAAAAUAUAUGAUUUGUAAGAACUAGUAAAUGCCACGUUUUCAUAUAAACAACGAUAGGGUCAUCCUCACUCCGUUCGAUAAUAAAAAAUAUAAUAUAAAUUCUUAAAAAGGCUCUUUCAGAUUAUCAUGUCCUUAACAUCCAUUGACGGUGCAGUUUCAUAGAGAAUAAUCGACAAGAAUCUCAGAGCUUACUCUUUUUCUCAAAUUAAUAAACCUACAACAAUGCAGAAAAAAAAUACAAAACAAUUUUAAAUUAAUGCAUACGUCACUUUUGUAUCUUUCAAUUGUAUUUACAUUUAUUAUCAUCCCGGGCUAGAACUUAGGUUAGAAUUAAACAAUCCCAGGUUUAAUAAAAAAAAAAGAGUCCUUUUUGAAUCUAAGGACUUACUAGGGAAAGCGACGGUACCCAUAUGAAGGAUCCCAUUAUCACUCUCAAGCCAAAAUCCCGAAAACUGCCCAGCCUAGUACAAAGGGGCCUUCUCGCAUAAUUUAUUGCCGGAAUACCCUCAACGGCACGGAGCGUCUCUUUUGGCUCUAGAUAAUUAGGAAACUUAUGAUAUAGUUGAAAUUCCUCAGUGGUAUUUGCACGAUGAGCAAAUGCUCGACAUUGACAUUGUGAUGUCUUUAGGUUAUGGCUGCUACUUAACAAGAGUGGGCCGUAAACUCCUUUUCCAGUGCAUGAUGUAAUAAAUUAAUUAAAAUGGUCGCUUCCCUCGAAACAGCUACACCAGGGUGUCUUAAUUAUAAAACCAAUGACGCCCUAUUAAGAGAUUUGUAUGUGUUUAAAACACCUUUGUUUAAUUUUUAUUUGAAAUUCCUUUUUUAAUAAAUUGUAAGGAAGUUAAUUAUAAACGCCAAAAUUAAAUUGUCCAUAAACCAUAACUGACUCCAUAAAUCUUAUACAUAUUUCAAUUAUGUCAAGAAUUUUAACCUUAACUGGACAUUUUUUACUGGUGGUAGGACCUCUUGUGAGUCCGCUCGGGUAGGUACCACCGCCCCGCCUAUUUCUGCCGUGAAGCAGUAAUGCGUUUCGAUUUGAAGGGUGGGGCAGCCGUUGUGACUAUACUGAGACCUUAGAACUAUAUCUCAAGGUGUGUGGCACAUUUACGUUGUAGACGUCUAUGGGCUCAAGUAACCACUUAACACCAGGUGGGCUCUGAGCUCGUCCACACAUCUAAGCAAUAAAUAAAUAAAUCCUCAAAUUUG